rnacentral:rRNA from 1 species
UACAGAGGGGGCAAGCGUUGUUCGGAAUUACUGGGCGUAAAGGGCGCGUAGGCGGCCUGCUAAGUCGAACGUGAAAUCCCCGGGCUCAACCCGGGAACUGCGUCCGAUACUGGCAGGCUUGAAUCCGGGAGAGGGAUGCAGAAUUCCAGGUGUAGCGGUGAAAUGCGUAGAUAUCUGGAGGAAUACCGGUGGCGAAGGCGGCAUCCUGGACCGACAUUGACGCUGAUGAGCGAAAGCUAGGGGAGCAAACGGG